GCGAAGGUGGCGGAAUUGGUAGACGCGCUAGCUUCAGGUGUUAGUGUCCUUACGGACGUGGGGGUUCAAGUCCCCCACGGACGUGGGGGUUCAAGUCCCCCCCCUCGCACCA
rnacentral:tRNA from 1 species